rnacentral:rRNA from 1 species
UUCCGUAGGUGAACCUGCGGAAGGAUCAUUAACGCUAAUCCAAACCUACUCAACCAAGCCUUGAAGUUGCAGCGUGCUGCAGCCUAAAACACUAACCAAAAGACGUCUAACUAAGCCGAACCAAAAACAAAUCCUCAACGAUGGAUAUCUAGGUUCCUACAACGAUGAAGAACGCAGCGAAGUGCGAUAAGCAAUGCGAAUUGCAGAACCGUGAGUCAUCAGAUUUUUGAACGCAACUGGCAGCUACGGGUCUCCCGUAGCUAUGCUCGUUUCAGUAUGUCUUUAUCUCCUCCCCCAAAUCAUAAUGUGGCAGAUGCCCUUCUGCUGCGAAACCUGGAAGCACUCUGCUCUUUGCAGUGGCCUCGGCCACACUCAAUGCAGACGUCACAUUCUUUAAUGUGAACUCAUUGAUGGUGAAGACAGCGCGGUUUCGGCCGCAAGUGCUUGGAGACACCACUUUUUCCAACAUCUGAGGCGAGUAGGAGUACCCGCUGAACUUAAGCAUAUCA